UAUGUCAGGAAGGGCAAGAACAACGGGCGGGUGGGACGACCGAAGAAGCUCAAGACACCCAACCGCCCCCUCCGCCUCCUCCACCUCCACCGGCAAACCGCAGGAGAGGCUCAGGUCAGCCCAAAUCAGGAAAGCGAGGCGUCCUGAAGCGCCCCUGGUCAGAGGCAGAGCGCGCAGCAGUUGAGGAGCACCUGACCCAAAACAUCACUGAGCUCCGAGUCCCCGCCAAGGCCGACUGCGAGCGCUGCCUGCAGCAGUGCCCCCUGCUGGUCAGCAACCACCGUGACUGGCGAGCCAUCAAGUUCUACUGCCACAACCGCAUCCAGCUGUUGAAGAAAAACCAGCGGCGUGAAAGCGAGCCACAGCCCCUCACCGUUUGCUGAGAAAGGGGGGGUGUACACGGGAGGGAGGGAGGGGCUUGGUCCAGCUGAUCAGAGCAGAUUCUCAAAUGGUACCUUGCUGCCCAGGAAAUGCACUAAUUUUGAGAGGACGGUCAUAAAUUUCACUCUACUCUUCUGGGUGCGUUUUUUCGACACAGUCUCUAAUUUGACACCUGAUGACGUUUUAUUUUGAGCCACACAAGAACAUAAAUUUCGACUAACUUUUUUCGCUGCUCUACUUUAACGUCUUAUAAGAAAAAAGUUACACUAAAGUCUUUAUGGUGCUCCUGUUUUGAGGAAUUACAGUACAAGUCUUGUCAAAAGCAGUGCACUUGGACGGGUGCCGUUUGAGACAUUGCCUUGGCGGGUGGGGGGACUUCAGAGACCACAGCACUGGCUGCAGCCUGUGUUGUGUUGUAUAUGGACUUUAUUUUUCUCUCUCCUUCCAAAAUGGAUACACUAAACUGAAAUGUAAACAAGGGAGGCGACUGAGCCCUACAGUGUUGUUGUAUGAACGUCGUGAAGUAGCAUUAGUGUUUUAUGCACUCAGAGACGUUAAUAGGACAAAUGGCCUGUGUCUGGGCCACACUUUUCUUAUAGUGGCUUUAUAAUUAGAGUAGGCCUAACUAAUGCUAACUUAGAAGAAUAGCCCAAUCUUUCCUCCUUCAACAAGCUAGUUCUUCUUUUCAUACAGCUGUGCAAUUCUCACUAUGGUUUCAUUAUAUUUGGACCCUGAGGUACUAGAUGAUGAAUGAGUUACGCUUUUACAGUUACUAUGAAGUUUGUUUUUAUUACUGAAAUGGAACAUGAUAUUGUGAUCAUUUUUUGAGUUGUGGGUUUCAUGACAGAGACAAUUAAAUGGCAUCAGAAUGUUGUGAAGUUACUUAUGAAUACCUAAGAUAUUUAGUUAAACCACAAAGUCCAAGAAACGUAUUCUAAGAACUGUCGUCUUUGUCCUUUCCCCCAUUAACAGACAAGAUGUCAGCAGCUACCCUUCUCCCCCAGAGGAACAAUAUGUUCAUCUUUCCUAUUGUUUAUUGUUGUUUUUUUUUUCUGCCUGUUGCACAUUUGUUAUUCAGAGAAGUUAAAAAAGGUGCUAUAGGCCACUAAGCUGGAUAUCACUUUAUAUGUGGAGAGGAGAUUUCCCAUGGUUGUGUUAGAAGUUUCUUAAAAAAGUGGGCAUUUAUCAGAGAAGUGAUUGUUCUGUGUCGCCACGUCUGUUGCAUCGUCUGUGUUGUCUUUUUUCCAACGGCUAGAGCUCCUCCUGUUCUUUCCCAGCCACACUACAUGGUUUGCAGCUUGACCAGAUUUCUGGUUUCUCCUCUGGUGUUGCUGGAAAUCUGCGUCCAUUGGACUAAAACCUCCAUGAAACCUCAAGACAGAUACUUGAAGUUAUUUAAACCUUUUGCGGAAUCUUUAUGUUCUUUCUUGCUCUAGCCUUGCCAGUUACGUUGUACAUAACAAAUAUAUUAUCAUUAUGCUAACUGGUUGUUUGUGCUAGACUACAUGUAGCUUUUUUCCAUUUCUGAGUUAUUGCUAUCUGUACAUAAGCCUGUUUGUAAAUACUCCUCAGAGAAACAAAGAAAAAACACAAUGUAUGACAUGCCUUGGUUAUUGUGUUAUGUUUUUUCUUUUUUAUAAGUCUUAUAAAAAUUUAAAGUUA